rnacentral:rRNA from 1 species
GACGAACGCUGGCGGCGUGCUUAACACAUGCAAGUCGAACGGUAAGGCCCUUCGGGGUACACGAGUGGCGAACGGGUGAGCAACACGUGGGUGAUCUACCCUGCACUUCGGGAUAAGCCUGGGAAACUGGGGCUAAUACCGGAUAGGACCCUGGGAUGCAUGUACUGGGGUGGAAAGCUUUUGCGGUGUGGGAUGGGCCCGCGGCCUAUCAGCUUGUUGGUGGGGUGAUGGCGUACCAAGGCGACGACGGGUAGCCGGCCUGAGAGGGUGACCGGCCACACUGGGACUGAGAUACGGCCCAGACUCCUACGGGAGGCAGCAGUGGGGAAUAUUGCACAAUGGGCGCAAGCCUGAUGCAGCGACGCCGCGUGAGGGAUGACGGCCUUCGGGUUGUAAACCUCUUUCAGCACCGACGAAGCGCAAGUGACGGUAGGUGCAGAAGAAGGACCGGCCAACUACGUGCCAGCCGCCGCAGUAA